rnacentral:rRNA from 1 species
UAAGGAAUCUUCCACAAUGGGCGAAAGCCUGAUGGAGCAACACCGCGUGAAGGAUGAAGGCCCUCGGGUCGUAAACUUCUUUUAUAAGUGAAGAAUAUGACGGUAACUUAUGAAUAAGGGUCGGCUAACUACGUGCCAGCAGCCGCGGUCAUACGUAGGACCCAAGCGUUAUCCGGAGUGACUGGGCGUAAAGAGUUGCGUAGGCGGUUAUUUAAGUGAGUAGUGAAAUCUGGUGGCUCAACCAUCAACACAUUAUUCAAACUGGAUAACUCGAGAAUGGUAGAGGUAGCUGGAAUUUCUUGUGUAGGAGUGAAAUCCGUAGAUAUAAGAAGGAACACCAAUGGCGUAGGCAGGCUACUGGACCAUUUCUGACGCUGAGGCACGAAAGCGUGGGGAGCGA